rnacentral:rRNA from 1 species
AGAGUUUGAUCAUGGCUCAGGAUGAACGCUAGCUACAGGCUUAACACAUGCAAGUCGAGGGGAAACGACAUCGAAAGCUUGCUUUUGAUGGGCGUCGACCGGCGCACGGGUGAGUAACGCGUAUCCAACCUGCCCACCACUUGGGGAUAACCUUGCGAAAGUAAGACUAAUACCCAAUGAUAUCUCUAGAAGACAUCUGAAAGAGAUUAAAGAUUUAUCGGUGAUGGAUGGGGAUGCGUCUGAUUAGCUUGUUGGCGGGGUAACGGCCCACCAAGGCGACGAUCCAUAGCCGACCUGAGAGGGUGACCGGCCACAUUGGGACUGAGACACGGCCCAAACUCCUACGGGAGGCAGCAGUGGGGAAUAUUGCACAAUGGGCGAAAGCCUGAUGCAGCGACGCCGCGUGAGCGAAGAAGUAUUUCGGUAUGUAAAGCUCUAUCAGCAGGGAAGAUAAUGACGGUACCUGACUAAGAAGCACCGGCUAAAUACGUGCCAGCAGCCGCGGUAAUACGUAUGGUGCAAGCGUUAUCCGGAUUUACUGGGUGUAAAGGGAGCGCAGGCGGUGCGGCAAGUCUGAUGUGAAAGCCCGGGGCUCAACCCCGGUACUGCAUUGGAAACUGUCGUACUAGAGUGUCGGAGGGGUAAGCGGAAUUCCUAGUGUAGCGGUGAAAUGCGUAGAUAUUAGGAGGAACACCAGUGGCGAAGGCGGCUUACUGGACGAUAACUGACGCUGAGGCUCGAAAGCGUGGGGAGCAAACAGGAUUAGAUACCCUGGUAGUCCGCGCGGUAAACGAUGGAUGCCCGCUGUUGGGCCAACUGGUUCAGCGGCCAAGCGAAAGCAUUAAGCAUCCCACCUGGGGAGUACGCCGGCAACGGUGAAACUCAAAGGAAUUGACGGGGGCCCGCACAAGCGGAGGAACACGUGGUUUAAUUCGAUGAUACGCGAGGAACCUUACCCGGGCUUGAAUUGCAGAGGAAGGAUUUGGAGACAAUGACGCCCUUCGGGGCCUCUGUGAAGGUGCUGCAUGGUUGUCGUCAGCUCGUGCCGUGAGGUGUCGGCUUAAGUGCCAUAACGAGCGCAACCCCUCUCCAUAGUUGCCAUCAGGUUAAGCUGGGCACUCUGUGGACACUGCCACCGUAAGGUGUGAGGAAGGUGGGGAUGACGUCAAAUCAGCACGGCCCUUACGUCCGGGGCUACACACGUGUUACAAUGGCAGGUACAGAGAGCCGGUCGUAUGCAAAUACGAUCCAAUCCUUAAAGCCUGUCUCAGUUCGGACUGGGGUCUGCAACCCGACCCCACGAAGCUGGAUUCGCUAGUAAUCGCGCAUCAGCCAUGGCGCGGUGAAUACGUUCCCGGGCCUUGUACACACCGCCCGUCAAGCCAUGAAAGCCGGGGGCGCCUGAAGUCCGUGACCGCAAGGAUCGGCCUAGGGCGAAACUGGUAAUCGGGGCUAAGUCGUAACAAGGUA